UACGUAGGUGGCAAGCGUUGUCCGGAAUUACUGGGUGUAAAGCGCGUGUAGGCGGCAGACCAAGUCGGCGGUGAAAGCGCCCGGCUCAACUGGGCGAGGUCCGUGGAAACUGGUCAGCUGGAGGACGGUAGAGGCGAGUGGAAUUCCCGGUGUAGUGGUGAAAUGCGUAGAGAUCCGGAAGAACACCGGUGGCGAAGGCGGUCUGCUGGGCAGUUGCUGACACUGAGGCGCGACAGCGUGGGGAGCAAACAGG
rnacentral:rRNA from 1 species